CUGAAUGGCAGUAGUCAUUUUUCACAGCUCAUCAGAGUCUCUGUAUAUUUCAGAUUGUUUCCUGUGUGUCCAUCACUUCGAGAUUUAUCAGCACUGAAUUCCAGCUGGCACAGAGAGGCUGUGAUGCAGUGGGCUGUGUGGUUUUACUCGGUCUGUGUUUUUCACCACCCCUUCCUGGGAGGCUGAUUUGAUAGCCUGGGGACUUGUGGCCACCGGAACACGUGCAGGACCCCCGCCCUGCUGGGCCAGGACCCCACCUGAGUCUGAGCAGGGCAGCAAUAGAGGGGACUGGUGGUAACAGUGUGCUCUGCACCGCACCGAGCCGCCAGGCAGGGGCUGAUCCUGGCUCACCAGAGUGGAGGGUUUGGCAAGCAGGUGCACAGAGGUGCACAGCACCUCGGGUCUGGGGCUUAACAGCUCCAUUCCUGGAGCUUGCUUCCACAAUGUGCUGUGAGAUCUUUUGCCAGCCGAUGGUGUCUGCAGCACUCGCUUUUCUCAUGCUGACAGAAUUGGUAGUGUUAUUUAUUAUAACAGUUUUAAGCUCAGUUCUUACUGUCCUAUAGAGUACACGAGGACUGUGCUGUCACUUGCUUCAGAAAGGCCUCAGCCUGACCUGGCCAUCUAGUGAAACCAAAUGGGCUGCAACAGAUUUGUGACCAUUUAUUCAAGAACAGUUUUCUGCAUCUUUGCACUGGAAUCCGUUCUCACCUGCUCCCCCAAGAGCUUCCCAGCUGAGCAGAGCCUGCACGGUGGGACCGGAGCAUCGCACACCCAUGGGCCAGGCAGUGACAGCACUGAACUGCUCCUGGCCUACUUAAGUUGUAAAACAAUUUAGUUUUCUUCAGCAUGUUCAGAGAGAAAAAUGUCACUGUUGCUUUUCCCUGCAGAUGUGUCCGUGCACCUCUAACGGCUACAUCUGCCUCUGUCAACCUAUGGAAUUGAGGAUGCUUUUCACCAUAAUCAAGCUGUGUAUAAUCAUAAUUAUAAUCAUAAUAGAAUGAUGAUGAGAACAAUAAUAAAUAUCAAGGAGCUGC
rnacentral:lncRNA from 1 species